rnacentral:rRNA from 1 species
GGUCAAGCUACAAAGAGCUCACGGCGGAUACCUUGGCACACAGAGGCGAUGAAGGACGUGGUUACCUGCGAUAAGUCUCGGGGAGCUGGAAACACGCUUUGAUCCGGGAAUUUCCGAAUGGGGCAACCCCUAGAACGGCCAGCUGAAUCCAUAGGCUGGCGCGAGCCAACCCAGCGAACUGAAACAUCUUAGAGUGAGAAGAA